UUACUGAAGCCUCUUUUUCUCACUUUUUUUCUUCUUCUUCAGCGACACGACCGCGCUAGGGGUUUCUUCUACUUUGGCGAUGCAACAGCGUUAGAGUUUUCUUCUUAUUCGGCGACGCGGCAGUUCUAGGGUUUCUUCUUCUUCGACGACGCGACAGCUCUAGGGUUUUCUUCUUCUUCGGCGACGCGACAGCGCUAGGGUUUUGUUCGCCGCUCGACUCGACGAUGAUAUUGAUGUUGAUGUACUCUUCACUGCUUUUGAUGAUGCUUAUGUUGUGGAACGAAGUGUAUGAAGCAAUGUCUCAAGAAUUACUUUCUUUGAUUAUACAACCACUUGACACUAUGAAAAUUGCAUGAAUUGAAUUUGUCAACGAUAAAUGGGGACUUUUGUAGUAAAGGCAAAGUCCCAAGAAUUACAACUUUUUGAGGCACUAUCAUCGAAACAAGAGUUAGAGCCCUUACUACACUUGGAGGAAGUCGUAUUCACUUGCUUAGAACCUUCAGAUGCGAGGUGUGAGAGAUAAGCAGUGCGAUUACGAGAUUGAGGAGUGACUUUGGCAAAGGAAUGACUUAGACGCUUUGCGCGCGUCACUUCAAACUUCCUCCGCAUUAGAUUUUUGGUUUUGAUUGGGACAAUGAAAGAUUUAAGUCUAAGGAGAUAUAUAUGUUGGUUGUUAGUUUUUGUCAUAUUGCUUUUUUGCAUAAUAAUUUUUUUUAGUUACAUCAAUCAUCAAAUUAUGUUUGGUUGUUAUUCA